rnacentral:rRNA from 1 species
UACGAAGGGGGCUAGCGUUGCUCGGAAUUACUGGGCGUAAAGGGCGCGUAGGCGGCGCUGUUAGUCAGGCGUGAAAUUCCUGGGCUCAACCUGGGGACUGCGCUUGAUACGGCAGUGCUUGAGGAUGGAAGAGGCUCGCGGAAUUCCCAGUGUAGAGGUGAAAAUUCGUAGAUAUUGGGAAGAACACCGGUGGCGAAGGCGGCGAGCUGGUCCAUUACUGACGCUGAGGCGCGACAGCGUGGGGGAGCAAACAGG